UCUGCCGCGGCCGGGAAGUUCGAACAGAAGUCUGGGGAAGAGCCGGCGAAGAGCAAAGAGAUAAUACAGUACUCCCAGCUAUAGCAAGCGGCAGUUAUGGAGCAUGCGCAGCAGCAGGGGCGGCCGCAGGUCGCCGUUCAAUAAUACUCAAGGGAUUUGUACAGCCCUGUAGGAGACACCUCCAGAGAAAGUAACAGCUCUCAAUUGAUUAGCUGAGAAGCCUCAGGGGCUGGAUCCUGACAUGAACCAGACACCUCCAGAAUUCUAUCCCAAGCAAAAGAUUAUUUCAAGGCCAGAACUCACUCCCUGCUGGAGACUGACUACAAGAUCCACUGAGAUUGAUGUGUAACCUGAUUGGGCCCACAGUGAUGCUAGCCCCUUCACCAGAUGGAACAAUAAUUCCAGACAAGCCAUCAGAGCAGAGAGCAGAGAAGAGGAGAAGCAGCUGGAUGUCAGAGACUGCAGUUUGACGUUGGAGAAAAGCAGCUUGACUUCAGAGGGACAGCUUGACAGCAUGGAUUCAGAGAGGAGAAGAUCACCUUCCUGCUCCGUCCCCUUUCCAGCUCCCUUUCCCACUGAGAGCCACUUACACAGGCAAUAAAAUCCUCUG
rnacentral:lncRNA from 1 species